rnacentral:snoRNA from 1 species
UCUGUGAUGACGGUCUGAAGCAGGUGAUUCCUGAUCAACUGCAGCGCUGAGACGUGUCUGA